rnacentral:misc_RNA from 1 species
GAUGAAGAACGUAGCGAAAUGCGAUAAGUAAUGUGAAUUGCAGAAUUCAGUGAAUCAUCGAAUCUUUGAACGCACAUUGCGCCCGUCAGUAUUCUGGCGGGCAUGCCUGUUCGAGCGUCAUUACGCCCCUCAAGUCCCCUGUGGACUUGGUGUUGGGGAUCGGCGAGGCUGGUUUUCCAGCACAGCCGUGCCUUAAAUUAAUUGGCGGUCUCGCCGUGGCCCUCCUCUGCGCAGUAGUAAAACACUCGCAACAGGAGCCCGGCGCGGUCCACUGCCGUAAAACCCCCCAACUUUUUAUAGUUGACCUCGAAUCAGGUAGGACUACCCGCUGAACUUAAGCAUAUCAAUAAGCGGAGGA